GAAUGAUGUACGAAAGUGUAUUGAGGUUGAUAGCAAUGAAGUAUGGUAGUCCUAUGUGAAGGUUAAUAAAGAAGCAGAGGGCUGGCUAGGAAAAUCGUUUCCAUUGUAUGACAGAUUGAAUGUUAUUUUUGGGAAAGACCGAGCAACUGGAGUAGGAGCUGCAACUCCUACUAAGAUGAUGAAUGAACUUGAGCACAUUAAUGAAGAUGAAGAUGAAGAUGAGGUGGAGACUAGUUCUCAUUUUGUUGCUUGACGGUCAAGCAGUUCAAGUACUCGGAAAAGGAAGAGAGCUGCUACUGAUAAUGAUCUUGCUGUGGCAUUUAAAGAAAUGCUUUCUGAAUCAGUGGAUAAGUUGGGUGAAGUUUUACAAGCUGUUUUUGGGAAAGGAGUGGAUCCAAAACCUGAGAUUGCUUCAGAAUUGUCAAAGAUGGAUUUGUCUAUUGAGGAUCAAAUCAAGGCACUCAAUAUUCUUUUCGAAAAGCCACAGAAUGAGAGGACAUUCUUGUCUUUGGAUUGUGCAAUGAAAAAAGCUUUCGUACUCAUGUUACUUGGACAAAGUAACCGCAAUUGACAUUUCAAACCAACAACAAUAUAUUUUGUUAAAAGCAACAUGCAUAUGUUUUGGCUAUUUGGACAAACUGUUUCUUAGUGAAACCAACUUGCAUUUGUAUAUUUUAUGAACUUGAAUAUGUGGUUGGAUUAAUCUAUAUAACGUAAUGACUUGUAGUUGUUUUUUGUGAACCUUCUUUUAUGUUAUUGGAAAAUAUUUUGAAUUUGAUGUA